rnacentral:rRNA from 1 species
CGACGUGGAUAACCUGCCUCACACAGGGGAGUAACAGUUAGAAAUGACUGCUAAUACCGCAUAAGCGCACGGCAUCGCAUGAUGCAGUGUGAAAAACUACCGGUGGUGUGAGAUGGAUCCGCGUCUGAUUAGGUAGUUGGUGGGGUAACGGCCCACCAAGCCGACGAUCAGUAGCCGACCUGAGAGGGUGACCGGCCACAUUGGGACUGAGACACGGCCCAA